AGCACAGCGCAGGAGCUCUCAGACUACCUCAGAUGCCAAGAGCCUGGUUUGAAUACAAGCCUUGCCAUUGUGUGACUUUGGGCCAGUGUUUCCAGCCAUCAUGUCAGAGCUGAGUGGAGUGGCACUGGGUGCCAAGGCAAACACCCAGCCCAGCUGUGCUGGGAAGAACUGAGCUCCAAUGUGUCUUGUGACCCAGCUCCUCCCACCCACCUGGCUGUGUCUCCUAUCCUGCAGAGAUUUCUGGGGGCUGUUUCCAGUAAACAGAGUGCCAGCACCCACUAACCUGUAAAUAGCACCUUGUUCAGGGGGAGUGAUAUUCUUUGGUUUAAAGACCCCUGACGUGACUUAUUGCCAUUCUGCUACUGAGCCUUGAGAGAUUAUGGUAAGUGCCAAGAAAAAAAAAAUGACUUUGAACUGCUCUUUCACCAGUUAAAAAUAACACUGAAACCAAAUGUAAACAUAAAAGAAGUGGUCAGAUUCGGGUUACAUAUUAACGGUGUUUGGUCAGGCUGGAGCUGAGGCACAGCAGCAGAGAAUGCCUUUUACUUAUCACUGUUUCCAAACCUCCCUACCUGGACUAGGCUUGACUGGAUUUACAAGAGACCUUUUGAAAAGAUGCAGAGAAGGCAAGCAGCACACAUUUCCUGGUAAUAAAUUUUAAAGGUUGCUAAAACAUUCCAGAGAUUUUCACUCAACAUUCCUCUGGCCAACACAUCUGCAAUCUGCCAAUCCUUAAAAAUAGGUGUUUUUGCAUUUUAAUCUCACAAACAUCUUUGAAAAUGCAUUUCUUCUCUGCCCCUGUGUUGGACAAAUCCAGCUUUUUCCAUUUUCUAAAAACCACAGAAAUAUAAUGCUGCUUAAUUCAUACAAGACUGAGCUAACUGGAGUUAAAAUAAAAUUUCUGAGAGUUUGUUUGGCUCACUCUUCCCUACCAGAUGAUUCCAUUCUUAAAACGGUCCUGUGAUUAUAUUCUCUCAUUACAGAGGUGUCCAGAAAAAAAAUAAGGAGUGCAGUUCUGAAAUUAUAUAAAAGCAAAAUUAUUACUCUAAACGUAAGAGCUGUGAUAGAUCGUGUCAUUGACCAUGGUUCUUUUCCCCUGACACACACGUCCCCACCACCCACCCACUGUAUCCAUAUGCCUUUUGCCAUAUGACUUUGCAGCUCUCCCCACUAAAGGGGCAGCCAUGCGAUUUGCUUUGGCCAAUGAAAUGAGGCAGUAGUGGUGGUAUCCUAGUUCUGAGCCUAGGUCUCAAGAAGUCUUAUGUGUUUCUGCUUAUCCUCUUAUACCUCUGCCAUCACCAUGAGCCAAACAUCCCCCAAGUAGCCCACUGGUCCCAGGACAAGGAGGGAGACAUGAAGCAGAGCUCAUCCAGCUGCUGCAGCCCCACUUGACCCAGAGACCUACACUGGGAAGCAGAGCUGCCCAGUCAAGUCCAACCUGGAUGUGUGGAACCCCAGCCAACCUGAUGCAUGAGCACUCACGGCAUUGGAAGACAUCAUAAACAUUAAUGGAGAGCGGGAUGCCAGAAUAAGUUGAUCCAAAUGAUGCAGGAAUAUUUAGCAGCAAGGAGAAAGGAAUUCACAUUUCUCAGUACCCACUAUGUGCCAUACUUUGUGAUAAGAUGGUUUCCCUCCAAUAUAUCCUCAUUGUCAGCAAUGUCGGGAAACAGGAAUCAUUUCCCCUUCUACAGGUGAUAAAACUGAAGCAAGAAACAUACAGGCUAACAUCAGCUGAGCUGAGAUUUGAACUCCACUCUUUUUGACCCUGGAGCUGAUGAAUGCUGCUUCUAGAGGUUGAGUAUCCCUUAUCCGAAAUCCUUGGAACCAGGAGAUUUUUGGAUUUGGGAAUAUUUGCAUAUACAUAAUGAGAUAUCUUGGAGAUGGGACCCAAGUCUAAAUACAAAAUUAUUUUGUUGUAUAUACACCUUGUACACAUAGA